rnacentral:rRNA from 1 species
UACGUAGGGUGCGAGCGUUAAUCGGAAUUACUGGGCGUAAAGCGUGCGUAGGCGGUUUGUCGCGUCUGCUGUGAAAUCUGGGGGGCUCAACCCCCCAGCCUGCAGUGGGUACGGGCAGACUAGAGUGCGGUAGGGGAGAUUGGAAUUCCUGGUGUAGCGGUGGAAUGCGCAGAUAUCAGGAGGAACACCGAUGGCGAAGGCAGAUCUCUGGGCCGUAACUGACGCUGAGGAGCGAAAGCAUGGGGAGCGAACAGG